GCCGCCCGCAGAGCCGCCUCGCCGCGCCGCGGCCACCGCCUGCUGCCGGGUCGCAGCCGCUCCUCCGCGCCGUGAGGGGCUCGGCAAAGCUUGUUAAUGAUACUGACGUCAUGAAAGAGGCAAAACCAAGUUUAUAUGUAAAAAAGAUACUACCCAUUUUACUGAAGAAUAGAGUUGUCCAUUUUGUAGGAUUUGAUACUACCCAAUACCUUUUACUACCCAAUACCUUUUGACCUUCAGAGACUGCGUUGCAGAUGCAAUUUUCAUGCUCUUCGCUUCGUACACAAAAUACAACAAGCUGGUGCAUUACUUGUAGAGAGGUUGCAUGGUCAUAGACCCUAUCCGUCGCCUUUAGAGGAUAAUCUUUUGGGUCAUUUUACUAGAAAAUCUGUUCUCAAGGGGUACAAGAAUGAUGCAAUGAAAUAUCUAGCUGUUCAUCUCAGGUUUGAGAUUGACAUGGUUGCAUAUUCUAUGUGUUACUUUGGUGGUGGAAAAGAAGAGGAAGAGGAACUAGAGAUCUAUCGCCAAAUUCACUUUCCAGCCCUGACAGAACUAAGGAAGACAACAAAGUACGUAUGUUGUUUGAUACUGAUAUUUUUCUGCCUUGCAUAUAGAUGAAUAUAAAUUAUCAUCUUGCUGUCCAACUUUGAAAAAUCUUCCAUGCUAAACCAGAAGCUUCUAAAACUUCCAUUCUUAACUAGAAGGCUACUUUUAUUAAAUGCCAAAAAAAAAAAUCUUACCUGCGAUUAAAUCUUGCUUCCCUUUUGCCACUUCAAUUUUUCUUUCAUGCACAUGGUUAUCUCACUGACAUGUGGCUGCCGAACCUAUCGUGUGAUAAAAAAGUACAUGAUGUUUAAGUCCAGUUUAUUAAUCUAUUGCCUGCCCUUUCAAAUGGUGCCUAUCUCUGAAAGUCCCACUAUCAUGUUAGGUUGCCAUCUGCUGCUUCCUUGCGAUCUGAAGGAAAAUGCCCCCUUGCACCUUAAGAGGCUGUGCUUAUCCUAGCAGCUAUUGGUUUCAUUCCGUUUUAUUAUUGGAUUCAUUAUGUCAUGAAUGCAGGCGAUAAACAUUAACCACUUAAUCCUGUGCACAGUUUCAAAUCUGAAGAAUACCUACAAUAAACAUUUAUUAAACCCUAACAUGCAGCUUACAUUCUCUUCGAAUAAUGAGUAUCAAUUAACAAAUAUUUAAGCUUAACUAGCCUAUAAUAUUUCAUCGAAUAUCAUUGGCAAACAAAUAAUCAUAAUAA